rnacentral:tRNA from 1 species
GCCCCCAUCGUCUAGCGGCCUAGGACAUGGGCCUUUCGAGCCUAUGGCACCGGUUCAAAUCCGGUUGGGGGCGCCA